ACGGCUCAGUAACACGUAGGUAACCUACCCUUCGGACGGGCACAACCCCGGGAAACUGGGCUAAUUCCCGAUAGGUACCCCCUUCUGGAAUGUGGGGAUAUCCAAAGCCCCGGCGCCGAAGGAUGGGCCUGCGGCCGAUUAGGUUGUUGGCGGGGUAACAGCCCACCAAGCCGACGAUCGGUACGGGCAGUGAGAGCUGUAGCCCGGAGAUGGGGACUGAGACAAGGCCCCAGGCCCUACGGGGCGCAGCAGGCGCGAAACCUUCACAAUGCACGAAAGUGUGAUGAGGGUACUCCGAGUGCGCAUACAUUGUAUGUGCUUUUCUGCAGCGUAAAUAGUUGCAGGAAUAAGGGCUGGGCAAGACCGGUGCCAGCCGCCGCGGUAACACCGGCAGCCCUAGUGGUGGCCGCUUUUAUUGGGCCUAAAGCGUCCGUAGCCGGACAGGCGAGUCUUUGGGUAAAUCCUACGUCUUAAGCGUGGGAAUUCUAAAGAUACUACCUGUCUUGAGGCCGGGAGAGGCUGGAGGUACUCCUGGGGUAGGGGUAAAAUCCUAUAAUCCUGGGGGGACCACCGAUGGCGAAGGCAUCCAGCUGGAACGGGCCUGACGGUGAGGGACGAAACCCAGGGGAGCGAGCCGGAUUAGAUACCCGGGUAGUCCUGGGCGUAAAUGAUGUGGGCUUGGUGUGAGCGCAUCGACGAGGUGCGCUUGUGCCGUAGGGAAGCCGUUAAGCCCACCGCCUGGGGAGUACGGUCGCAAGGCUGAAACUUAAAGGAAUUGGCGGGGGAG
rnacentral:rRNA from 1 species